GAUGAACGCUAGCGAUAGGCUUAACACAUGCAAGUCGAGGGGCAGCAUGGUCUUAGCUUGCUAAGACUGAUGGCGACCGGCGCACGGGUGCGUAACGCGUAUGCAACUUGCCUCACAGAGGGGGAUAACCCGUCGAAAGACGGACUAAUACCGCGUACACUCCAUCUUGGGCAUCCAAGGUAGAGGAAAUGAAAUUCGCUGUGAGAUAGGCAUGCGUCCCAUUAGCUAGUUGGUGGGGUAACGGCUCACCAAGGCGACGAUGGGUAGGGGAACUGAGAGGUUGAACCCCCACACUGGUACUGAGACACGGACCAGACUACUACGGGAGGCAGCAGUGAGGAAUAUUGGUCAAUGGGCGAGAGCCUGAACCAGCCAAGUCGCGUGAAGGAUGACUGUCUUAUGGAUUGUAAACUUCUUUUAUACGGGAAUAACAAGAGUCACGUGUGACUCCCUGCAUGUACCGUAUGAAUAAGCAUCGGCUAACUCCGUG
rnacentral:rRNA from 1 species